rnacentral:rRNA from 1 species
CGGCGCAUUAGCUAGUUUGGUGAGGUAACGGCUCACCAAGGCGACGAUGCGUAGCCGACCUGAGAGGGUGAUCGGCCACACUGGGACUGAGACACGGCCCAGACUCCUACGGGAGGCAGCAGUAGGGAAUCUUCCGCAAUGGACGAAAGUCUGACGGAGCAACGCCGCGUGAGUGAUGAAGGUUUUCGGAUCGUAAAACUCUGUUGUUAGGGAAGAACAAGUACCGUUCGAAUAGGGCGGUACCUUGACGGUACCUAACCAGAAAGCCACGGCUAACUACGUGCCAGCAGCCGCGGUAAUACGUAGGUGGCAAGCGUUGUCCGGAAUUAUUGGGCGUAAAGCGCGCGCAGGCGGUUUCUUAAGUCUGAUGUGAAAGCCCCCGGCUCAACCGGGGAGGGUCAUUGGAAACUGGGGAACUUGAGUGCAGAAGAGGAGAGUGGAAUUCCACGUGUAGCGGUGAAAUGCGUAGAGAUGUGGAGGAACACCAGUGGCGAAGGCGA